AAACUCUAGCAAAGAAGCAGGAGACUGAAAUACCAAAACCAAAAACAGGUAAAUAUUUGAAAUUAUUAAAUUUAGAAAGACAUUCAGAUAAGAUAUAAUGGCAUGGAGUUUGGAAGUAUUUUGCCAUCUGGAAAUACCAUUAAAACAAGGCAAAUAAAAGCCACCACUAACUUCUUUAAAUAGCACAAAUAAUGAACACGCUUCACAUAUUUUUAUCCACGAAUCAUUAGAGCAAAGGAAACACCAAAUUUAUCUGAUGCAUACUCCGGUAUCAAUAUUGCCUUUUCACAUGCUUAAUAUAUUUUUGGCUUUGUCUUUUUUGUCUAUAGAUAUAUUUUCUUUAUAGCUUACCUUCUAUUUACGUGUAUAGAUCAUUUUGUUAUGAGUUUUAUUUAUAACUUGACAAAGAGUGGAGUUUCCUAUUUUAAGCCUGUCACAUCAGAUCUUGUGAGAUACCCAGCUUCUAGUGUCCUGCUUCAUACAAUGUCUCCAAGCAAUAUGUAAAAACAUUGCAUUUACUCAGUUCAUGGCUAUGCCAACAUUGAUGACAUGCUAUGUGUUGUGAGGAUGUGCAAGAUCACAAGUAUAUGCCAAUUUAAGAAAAAUAAAAGUGUGCCAACUAGGAGCGAGAUCCCAUGGGCUAUAAAAAUGACAAACAAAGGCAAGGUAUAUGAGAAGGGACAGGCAACAGCUUCUGGGGACCUUUGUUGGUAGCGUUAAAAAAAAAAAAAGUUGUCAUUAUGGAGCAUUAAUCAUACAAAUAAGAAAAAAAACAAUGAUAACAUUAGUUUCUUUGAUGGACCAUGUUAAAGUAAAAUAACAUAUAAUUCAAAUUCAUCAUUCAUUCGUUAAUAGCUGCACGAUAGGCUAGUUUUGAUUGAAUUCAAAUACAUAUUAGAUAGUUAGAGUGUGACAAACAAUUAUUUACUAACACUUCCUAUUCUCAUAUUCCUUAUAGUAUUCAAUAUAAUAUCUUCCACAGAGACAUCAGUAAAGAAGGAGGAGACUGAACCAACAAAAGCAAAGACAGGUAAAUAUUUGGAAUUAUUUUUUUAUAUUAUAAUAAAAUGUGUUGGGUUAUCUUAAAGCAUGUAUAAAACUAUCCUUAAAUUUUUGAGAUUUUUCAUUUCAAAUCUAUAUUCUACAUGUAUACCCUUCAUAGAACUUCAUGAAAUUUGUUAGCAUUCUAUAAAUAUACAGUGAUAUUGAUAAUAUUUUCUGAUUUUAUAUGUUUCAAAGGAUGAAGUCAUAUGCUUUUAAUUUGCAAAUGAUAUGGGCAAAAAAGAGUUUUUUUUUUUUUACUUAAAUCAUGAAAAUAAGGAAAUUCAAAGUGGCCAUUGACUCUUUUUAUAGAAGCAGUAGUUUUUGCUUGAAUCAAAUUUAGGUUACACAGAUAGACUAGAUAUGAAGUAAAUUAAUCACUAACUUUGCCUAUUUACAUGUCAAUUAUAAUACAUAAAAAACAUUAAUAAUACAUUCUUAGAGGUGCCAGGGGAAAGAAAAGAAACUAAAGCACCAAAAAUAAAGACAGGAGGUACAUUUUUUUUGUUAAGUUUUAGCAUUCUUAAUCUUCAAACUUCUAUGUUAUAUCAGCUUUUAUCACACUUUUGUAUAUUAUUAUCUUCCCAUAUCCUUCUCAACAAAUUUGUGUUUUGAGUAUGUAAAAGUUAUGAAAUGUAUAUUAGAAUUUAAGAAGGUGAUGGAGAAAGAAUGCUGCCAUUAAUAUCUGAAUCAAAAUGAUUAUUUUUUGUAAAUUGUUAUGAAAAUAACUUUUUGGGCUCAAAUCUACAUUAGAUCAUUAGGUGUAAUAAUUGGAUUUCAAAAUCUAAAUGAUUAUCUUCCACAGAGACUCCAGUAAAGAAACAGGAGCCUGAACCAACAAAAAUAAAAGGUAGUUGUGUAAAAAGAAUUGCUUAAUUUAGAGAGACACUGAUGGACACUUUAUUGACUAAAGCCCAGCCAUAUGGACUGCAAAAUCCAGACAUUGUUCACGCUAUUCAACAAUAACCAGAUUUUGCAAUUCAGGCCCAGAACAGGCUUGAAUAUGGUCUGGAUUUUGGCUGGGCUGAAUGUCACUGCUGUAAAAAAAAUGUAAUUCAUUUAUUUUUUUACAGGUUUUAGUUUUAUUGCCACCGGUCACUAUCAUUAGGGUGAGGGGGUAGGUAGGGUUAUUUCUUUCUAAUGAGCAAUGAUGAGAGAAUUAACUAGGGGAAUGGGAAGGAAGGGAGGGGACAUGCCUCUAUUUGGAGAAGGAAUGCCCACCCUCCAUUGUUUAUUUACGCCCCCACCCAUCACCUAGGGGUGGGGGAGAAGGACACUUGGUCCCUCCCCAGAAUAUUAAAAUUAAGGCUGCCAAAGGUUGGUAGGGGAAGGUGGGAAGACAUUAGGUCCAAAUAAUGAUCCCUUUAAUAUUAUAGUUAAGGUCUCCCCAUUUUAUUAUUUAGAGAUCCCACCCACCACUAAUUGGUGGGGGCUCGGGUGGGGGACAGUAUGUCUUCCCUUUUAUAUUAUAAUUGCACCAUUGGCCACCAAUGAGUGGGGGCAUAUGAGGACAUUAGGAUGUUCUGUCUCUUUGUUAUUAAUCCCCCAGCUCUGGUAGGGGUGGGGCAGGGGCUGAAAGGUGAAAUACCCUGACUCGCUGCCCACGGACUGAGUAUGCCUCCUGUUAUUUCACAGGCUCCAUUCUCAUGGUAUAGGAUCUUUCGAUCAACUAGGUAUCAGUGGUUGCCCAGUAACUAGUUUUAAAUGUUUAGCAGAUUGUCCUCACCUUCCACAUGACAGGUGGUGGUAAAGCCUAAUUGUUUAUCUUUUUUAACUUUUUUUUUAUGUGGAGACUGGCUAUCAAGCACCAGCCAGCUACCACAUAAUUAACCCUUGAAGUGCUAAAGGUUAUUUAACUAAUUGCCCACUGGCUACUGUCAGCAGGCAAAUAGUGCUUAAAAUUAUUAUUCACUUGCACAAAAACAAGUGAAUGAUAAUUUGGUAAUAUGCAUUGUACUGGAUGCAUUCAGUCCCAUACUUUAUUAAAACUUGUGAUUUAUGACUCUUCCAAGAAAUGUACUUUUUAAACAUUUUAGCUGCAAAAGCCCUGAUUUUAAUCAGGACAUUGAAUGCAUCCAGGCAGUUGCUGCAGAUUCUCUGGUAUUCUCUGAUAUUUGACUGGAGUAAAUAUGAAAAUUAUGUCAGAAUUUGGUCAUUUUCACCAGAGUUUAGCUAAUCUAUUUGGUGAAUAACUCCACCAGACCUAAUAACAUUGAUACUCAUGACUAAUCUUUCCUUUGUGUAAAUAGUACUUGUGGCAAAUCUGUGGGGUCUAUGCAUUAAAAUGCCAAAUGGUAACCAAACAGUAAUUGAACACUCUUCAGUUUUCAUAAAUUUGUUGUUUUAACCAAGAUAAGAUAAAUUCAGUUAGUUCAACCAAAUUUGCACUUCUAUCCAACUGCUUUCAUAUAUACUCACAAAUGAAUAUUGCCGUUGCACAAACUUUGUAUUUUUUUGGCUUUGUCUCUCUUCUCUCGGGAUAUAUUUUCUCUGAUGUUUACCUGUUAUUUACUUGUAUGAAGAUUUUUGUUAUGUAUUUGAAAAGUGUGUUUUAUUAUUUAUCUCUGUUUACAUACUUAGUAACAUAUAGAAUGAAGCAUAUAAGAGUUUUGUUAUUUACAGCUUAAAAUGUGAAUUUGAAGUAAACUAAAGCUACCAUUCAGUUUUUUGAUUGGCUGGGUCCAAUUCAAAAUUAGCACGUUUAGCAAAUUGUUAUGGAAACUGUUGUUUUUAGUUAAACAUAAUUAAGAUUACAAAUAUAGACUAGAUAUAAAGACAUUUAUUCACUACCUCUGUCUGUUUACAUGCCAACUAUAAUACAUUACUAACUGAUUGAUAUCAUUUUCACAGAGAUUCCAGAGAAAAAACAAGAAACUGAAGCACCAAAAGUAAAAACAGGUAUUUUUUUUCCAUAUUUGAUCAAUUUUAGCACUCUGUAAGUUCCAGUUGUCACCUUUUAUUACAUUUGUGUAAUGUAUUAAGGUCCAUAUUUUCAAGGAAUGCAUUGAGUGUGUAAGAGUUUUGAAAUAUACUGGUGAAUUUAUGAAAAUAAGGGGAAAAAAUUGCUACUGUUAAUUUAUUUUAAUUAAUACUUUGGAAGCAAAAUCAUUUGAUUGUAAAUUGUUAUGAGAACCCCUUUUGUAACUCAAAUAUACAUUAAAUAGGUAGAGAAGAGAAAUAGAUUUCUGCCCCCACAUUAAUUACAGUAUACACUAAAUACCUUUCACAGAGACUCCAGUUAAAAAAACGGAGGCUGAACCAACAAAAACAAAAGGUAAUUGUGUGAAAAGAUUUGCUUUAUUAGACAGCACUGAGGCCUAAUAAGAGUAAUAGUCAUGGCCAUGUUUCCUUUGUGCAACUGGUACUCAUGGCAAAUCCAUGGGCUGUUUUAACCAAUGUGGCUAUUUGAAAAGGGUAAAUUCAGUUACUUGAACCAAAUUUGCACUUUCAUGCAGCAGCAUAUUGCAUUAGCACAAGCUUGUAUUCUUUUGGUUUUGUCUCUCUUCUCUUAUUUACUAUAUAUUUACUUUAUGACUUACCUACUGUGUACUUAAAUAAAGAUUUUUGUUAUGUAUUUGCAAAGUGUGUUUUAUUAAUCUCAGCUUUACAUUAGUCACAACAUAUAGGAUGGAGUAAAUAUUAAUUUUAUUAUUUUCAGUUUAAAAUAUGGAUAUAAUUAAAAGGAAAGCUACCACUGACUUCUUUGACUGGCUUUGCCAAAUUCAAAAAUAACAUGUUUUGUAAAUUCUUAUGGAGACAAUAGCUUUUUACUUAAUUCGAAUCUAGAUUACCUAUAUAGGGAUAGAUAUUCACUAACUCUACCUGUUUACAUGCCAGUUAUAGUAUACACUAAAAAUCAUUAGUACAGUAAAUUUCAGUAAUUGAUUAAUAAUAUAUUUGCAGAUACUCCAGGGAAAAAACGUGGAACUAAAGCACCAAAAAUAAAGACAUCUUUGUUUUUGUCCAUUUUUGAUACAUGUUACGGUCUAUAAGCUUCACUUGUAUAGCACAUUUAUCACAGAUCUGCAUUCUGUUAGGCUCCUCUUUGUCACUGUCCUUUCCAAUGUCUGCACUGAGUGUGUUAGAGUAUUUGAAACAUUCUGGGGAUGGGAAAAGCAAGGGAAAAACAUUUUAUUAAAUGAAUACUUUGAAAGCAAAAUCCUUGUUGAUUGUAAGUUGAUUUAAAACAGGUUUGUUAAAUCAAAUACACAUUAGAUAGGUAGAGAAGAGAAAUAGAUUUAUGAGUCUACCUGAACUCAUGUCAAUUAUGGUAUACACCAAUUAUCUUUCAUAGAGACUCCAGUGAAGAAACAGAAGGCUCAACCUACAAAAACAAAAG